rnacentral:rRNA from 1 species
AGAGUUUGAUCCUGGCUCAGGAUGAACGCUGGCGGCGUGCCUAAUACAUGCAAGUCGAACGAACUUCCGUUAAUUGAUUAUGACGUGCUUGCACUGAAUGAGAUUUUAACACGAAGUGAGUGGCGGACGGGUGAGUAACACGUGGGUAACCUGCCCAGAAGCAGGGGAUAACACCUGGAAACAGAUGCUAAUACCGUAUAACAGAGAAAACCGCCUGGUUUUCUUUUAAAAGAUGGCUCUGCUAUCACUUCUGGAUGGACCCGCGGCGCAUUAGCUAGUUGGUGAGGUAACGGCUCACCAAGGCGAUGAUGCGUAGCCGACCUGAGAGGGUAAUCGGCCACAUUGGGACUGAGACACGGCCCAGACUCCUACGGGAGGCAGCAGUAGGGAAUCUUCCACAAUGGACGCAAGUCUGAUGGAGCAACGCCGCGUGAGUGAAGAAGGGUUUCGGCUCGUAAAGCUCUGUUGUUAAAGAAGAACGUGGGUGAGAGUAACUGUUCACCCAGUGACGGUAUUUAACCAGAAAGCCA